CCAAACAAAAAUUGACAUUAGUGGUUCCGGCAUCUUCUAAUGUGCUUCGCUCGUGCCAGCAGUCGUCGAGCAGAUAAAACGCUGCUAAAGCCGCUGCAAGCCGGUGAGAAAACGGCCAGCAGACAAAUUCUGCUCACGACGCUCGCGGCACAAGGAGAACGGAAAAAGCCACUUGAAAAGGGAACCAACCAGCAGACAAUUUCGGCUCAACGCUCGCGGCACUCGAAGGCGGAGCUAACCUGAACGGAAAACACGGAAAAGGCACAGCACAAAGAAGCCCCUAACAAAAGGGGAAGCAUCCGGAAGAACACGUGAAAAGCUCCUACUAAUGGCAUGCUGCCUUAGGGCUUCUUUUUCUUUUCUUGUCGUUUUCGUUUUCUUCUUUCCUCAAGGGAGGUUGGCCACGGCACAGCAGCACGCCUGAGCAAGGGCACGCGGAAGGGCAACUUCUGCUUUUUGCCCCAACAAUCAACGGGCCUUCCUGUUCUCCUUCUAAGGAUUCAUAGUUAGAACCACAACACCUGUGACACGUUGUCCGGAAGUGUAUUCCGGAUUCAGCGAUGGACGAACACAAAUGCCGCGGAGUUGGAAUUCGAACGUGCGAUCUUCGGAGGUCCAUUUACCAACUUUACCUCUGCGUCAGGAAAGCGACAUCUGGUGUCAGGAUGACAAACUAGGAAGAUCCUGCAACCAGGCCUUUCGAGCAUCCACAAAAAUUGAGUGAGUAAACAACUAUUAAACAG